rnacentral:rRNA from 1 species
AUUGAACGCUGGCGGCAGGCUUAACACAUGCAAGUCGAGCGGAGAUGAGGUGCUUGCACCUUAUCUUAGCGGCGGACGGGUGAGUAAUGCUUAGGAAUCUGCCAUUUAGUGGGGGACAACAUUCCGAAAGGAAUGCUAAUACCGCAUACGUCCUACGGGAGAAAGCAGGGGAUCUUCGGACCUUGCGCUAAAUGAUGAGCCUAAGUCGGAUUAGCUAGUUGGUGGGGUAAAGGCCUACCAAGGCGACGAUCUGUAGCGGGUCUGAGAGGAUGAUCCGCCACACUGGGACUGAGACACGGCCCAGACUCCUACGGGAGGCAGCAGUGGGGAAUAUUGGACAAUGGGCGGAAGCCUGAUCCAGCCAUGCCGCGUGUGUGAAGAAGGCCUUUUGGUUGUAAAGCACUUUAAGCGAGGAGGAGGCUACUAGUAUUAAUACUACUGGAUAGUGGACGUUACUCGCAGAAUAAGCACCGGCUAACUCUGUGCCAGCAGCCGCGGUAAUACAGAGGGUGCGAGCGUUAAUCGGAUUUACUGGGCGUAAAGCGUGCGUAGGCGGCUGAUUAAGUCGGAUGUGAAAUCCCUGAGCUUAACUUAGGAAUUGCAUUCGAUACUGGUCAGCUAGAGUAUGGGAGAGGAUGGUAGAAUUCCAGGUGUAGCGGUGAAAUGCGUAGAGAUCUGGAGGAAUACCGAUGGCGAAGGCAGCCAUCUGGCCUAAUACUGACGCUGAGGUACGAAAGCAUGGGGAGCAAACAGGAUUAGAUACCCUGGUAGUCCAUGCCGUAAACGAUGUAUAGUAGCCGUUGGGGCCUUUGAGGCUUU